GAUGAACGCUGGCGGCGUGCCUAAUACAUGCAAGUCGAGCGAACAGACGAGGAGCUUGCUCCUCUGACGUUAGCGGCGGACGGGUGAGUAACACGUGGAUAACCUACCUAUAAGACUGGGAUAACUUCGGGAAACCGGAGCUAAUUCCGGAUAAUAUAUUGAACCGCAUGGUUCAAUAGUGAAAGACGGUUUUGCUGUCACUUAUAGAUGGAUCCGCGCCGCAUUAGCUAGUUGGUAAGGUAACGGCUUACCAAGGCAACGAUGCGUAGCCGACCUGAGAGGGUGAUCGGCCACACUGGAACUGAGACACGGUCCAGACUCCUACGGGAGGCAGCAGUAGGGAAUCUUCCGCAAUGGGCGAAAGCCUGACGGAGCAACGCCGCGUGGGUGAUGAAGGUCUUCGGAUCGUAAAACUCUGUUAUAGGGAAGAACAAAUGUGUAAGUAACUAUGCACGUCUUGACGGUACCUAAUCAGAAAGCCACGGCUAACUACGUG
rnacentral:rRNA from 1 species